CCACCACUGCCUCUUGUAGCCCUGACUUCGGAUUCCUCCCAUGUCCCACAGCUCCAAGGCCACUGUGGACUGCAGUGGCUUCUCCUUGGCACGCAAGCAAAGCAGAGAUGGGCUUGGAUCUGAAAACUCUCCAGAGCAGGAGAGCCCUGAACAAGGUCAAGGCCCAUGCUCAUCCCACCACCAUUUUGCCAAGCGAGCGGUUGGGAAGCACAAAGCCCAGUUACAAGACAAAGGCCAGGAGUCCCAGGGCAGCGUCACCGGCGCAGUCGUCUCCACACAUGCAAAGGUCCCUUCUGCCUUUUUUUUUUUUUCCCCUUUGAAAUUUCAAAUUCCAGUUUGUGGACAAAGUCCUGCCUAUCUGAGAAUAUAGAUCUCCGACCACUGACCAAACUCCACUCCAAGCAGUCCCGAGGGCUGCUCUUCCCCUUGCCCGCAGAUGCCUCCGCUCAGCCCCUGGAUCUGCUGGGAUCACUCCUUUUGCACUGGAGCAGAGUGCUCGUACUUGCAUAAAGAGGAUUCUGUGUGUUUCAGCCUAAACAUCAGCAGCUCCCUUUCUCCUCAUGGAAUGGGAAGGACCAUCGGGAAUAACCAGUGCUGUGGUUGGCACAGAUGCUGCUUGGAGCUGGGGACAAUGUCCAGGACAGACGAUGCCUGAGCAGACCUCAGCCAUGCUGUCACUGGUGAGCUUGUGACAUGCAGUGGUACCCUGAGCUCCCCAGAACCGCUCAGGGUGAUGGGGGUAGCUUCCCCUCAACCUCAGGUAUUUCUCACCAAUGCCACAUCUAUCAGGAAGUGGCCAAGCCAACCAAAACUGCCCCCAGGACAUAAAAUCACCAUAUGGAGAAUCAAGGCAGUUUUUGGACAUGGGGAAAGAGAUACUUCAAAGGAGGUUGCUUGAACUCCUCUCCAAAAGCAACAUGCGCAUUUUAGCCAAAGCUGGGAUGAAUGAUGGAGCUGGAGGCAGUUACUGGAGCUAAAAUAAAAAGCUGGUAUGUAAAAGCAUUAGGAAAAGAAGUGCGAACAUGAGGACAGACAGACCAUUUCAGCAUAUGUUGAUAACACUGUGCAUUGCUUUCAUCCCAGGACCAGAAAGGGGUUUAUUAUCCUGCCUAACAAAGACUCUGAGCACUUGAGGAAGUCAUUACUAAUACUGUUGCUUUGCCAGGACAGUAAGUGUGAACUGUUCUCAGACCAAGCGAGGAAGAAGAACUGUUGAUUCAUCUUGCAUUACCCCAUAGUCUGUAACUCAUUCUGAGCUACAGCUCCAGCUUCUGAUCCCGUUUGCCUCACCUAAACCACUAAAGCAAGUGCUGUGCUCCAUCUGAACCACAAUCCAGCACUUUUCAGCAAAACACCCUCUUGCUCAUGUGGGAGGAAACCUGGGAAGGCUCUGACUUUGCCACGUGCUGUUUCAGGUUCACUGCACUGGCAGAUGCUCAGCUUGAAUCCAGCCAUUUAAGCCCAGUUUAAAUGGGAGAGCAGAAGCCAUGGGGAAUCAGCAGCGCUGGAGAGGGUCUGCUGCUAGCAAGAAGCACCUAUGGCUUUCCAUGCCUCACCAGCUCACAUGUUCAGUGUGCCAGGGAUCUCAGCAGCCCACAUCUGGAAUUGUUUAGCAGAUUAAUAUAAUGCCUUUGUAACUGAAGUAAUCUUAUAACUUCCCAGAGAAAAAGAGCCCUACAGAGCACCCAAUUUGGCAGUUUGGAGAUCCUCUCCCUUCACCCCUGUCAUCCCCUUUGCAAGGGAUUUAGGUUUCAUUGACUUCUACAUUCAUUAUACAUACAUGAAACAGCCCUGAAUCACUCCAGCUGGUGAAGCAAUGGGUGGAGAACAGCCAAAAUCAACAAAGCAAGUUUUACCUUUCUUUUUUUAAGCUGCUUUUCUCUAGUUUGCAAAUGUGGAUGCUGCAGCAAGCCAAGAUGGGGACUGAGCCCCAGUCACUGCUGGGGCUCUCGGGAUCAGCCCUCACUAGUAAUGAAGGCAAAGGACUCCAAAGCUGCUGGAGGUGUGGAGGGAUUGUUCAGUGGGGCAAGUCUGAGCCUGUAUCCCCAAAGGCAGGCAAGUCAAGGGCUCCUCAAAGGCAAAAAGCAUCUUCCUGCUGGAAAAGUCAACCUGGGUGGGAAGAUGAACUUUGGGGGAGCAUCUCAGGAAAGGGGUGGAAGGCAGCAUGAGGAAGGUGUAGGGUUGCUGGAGGUGGGAGCACAGGUCAGGUCUGAACUGGGGAAGGUAGCCUGGGCAUGGGGGAAAAAUAAGAAAGCAAGGAGUGGUAAGUUGAAAUUGGAGAGAUUCUGGUUUCUGGAGUCAGAAGGGAACAAGUCAGUGCUAAACGCUUUUUCUCCGCAGGAGUGGGCAGAGUGCCUGAAUAGGCACUUGUGCCCAGUGUCCUCAGUCACCAGAGCACAGCAAGUGCCAGAGGGGUAAGUGGGAGCAAAGUAGCACCCUGGAGCUUCACGUCCACAGCAGCUUCGCACCCCUGCAGCCUGUGGCCACCACAGCACCUCCCAUUCAACAGAGCGUCCUGUCUUACUGCCGCAGAAACACACAGCUGCAAGCAAGGUACGGGAACAGGGGAGCUUUCUACAGGCGAGGUUUGUUGCAUGGGGAGGGGAUAAGAUCACGCAUGGGCAUGACACUGCAGUGCCAACUGCCUGGCUCCCAGCUACCAAACAACAUAGCAAACAGCUAUUUAGCCUCUGAGCAUUUGACCUAUGUCUCCAAGACAGGAUAACGCUAUUAUUUAUCCCUUUACUUUCCUGAAAGGCCCAGUGCCAUUGGCCUCUUGUAUCAUAAAGAAAUUAAAAUAUAUUAUGACCAUAAACUACAUCAUUUGAUUAAAUGAGCCAUUUCUUAAUAAACCAAUCAUGGGACUCGGCAA